AUUGUGAGGCAGAGAGACUCACCUGAUUGGUCAGGGAAUACAUUGACGGACACAGGGUACAAAUAAAAGUCCCUCCACCACUGUUCUCCUCCGAUUGUCUCCUGCUCUAGCAACACAGAUCUCAUACUCAUAGAUUUUCCAGUUUGCCACCAUGAGUCCCAAGAACGUAAUCUUCAAGAAGAUGGCCAAGGACAAGUCGGUUGGAGUAUACAUGGCGAAGAGGGACUUUGUGGAUCGUGUGGACUCUGUCGAGCCAGUGGAUGGUGUCAUACUGGUUGACCCUGAGGUCCUCAAAGGGAAAAAAGGUCUGCGUCUCACCAAACGUGUGCGUGUGCGUGUGC